GGUCAAGUGAAGAAGCGCAUACGGUGGAUGCCUUGGCAGUCAGAGGCGAUGAAAGACGUGGUAGCCUGCGAAAAGCUUCGGGGAGUCGGCAAACAGACUUUGAUCCGGAGAUGUCUGAAUGGGGGAACCCAGCCAUCAUAAGAUGGUUAUCUUGUACUGAAUACAUAGGUGCAAGAGGCGAACCAGGGGAACUGAAACAUCUAAGUACCCUGAGGAAAAGAAAUCAACCGAGAUUCCCUUAGUAGUGGCGAGCGAACGGGGACUAGCCCUUAAGUGGCUUUGAGAUUAGCGGAACGCUCUGGAAAGUGCGGCCAUAGUGGGUGAUAGCCCUGUACGCGAAAAUCUCUUAGUCAUGAAAUCGAGUAGGACGGAGCACGAGAAACUUUGUCUGAAUAUGGGGGGACCAUCCUCCAAGGCUAAAUACUACUGACUGACCGAUAGUGAACUAGUACCGUGAGGGAAAGGCGAAAAGAACCCCGGAGAGGGGAGUGAAAUAGAUCCUGAAACCGUAUGCGUACAAGCAGUGGGAGCCCACUUUGUUGGGUGACUGCGUACCUUUUGUAUAAUGGGUCAGCGACUUAUUUUCAGUGGCGAGCUUAACCGAAUAGGGGAGGCGUAGCGAAAGCGAGUCUUAAUAGGGCGUCUAGUCGCUGGGAAUAGACCCGAAACCGGGCGAUCUAUCCAUGGGCAGGUUGAAGGUUGGGUAACACUAACUGGAGGACCGAACCGACUACCGUUGAAAAGUUAGCGGAUGACCUGUGGAUCGGAGUGAAAGGCUAAUCAAGCUCGGAGAUAGCUGGUUCUCCUCGAAAGCUAUUUAGGUAGCGCCUCAUGUAUCACUGUAGGGGGUAGAGCACUGUUUCGGCUAGGGGGUCAUCCCGACUUACCAAACCGAUGCAAACUCCGAAUACCUACAAGUGCCGAGCAUGGGAGACACACGGCGGGUGCUAACGUCCGUCGUGAAAAGGGAAACAACCCAGACCGUCAGCUAAGGUCCCAAAGUUAUGGUUAAGUGGGAAACGAUGUGGGAAGGCUUAGACAGCUAGGAGGUUGGCUUAGAAGCAGCCACCCUUUAAAGAAAGCGUAAUAGCUCACUAGUCGAGUCGGCCUGCGCGGAAGAUGUAACGGGGCUCAAACCAUACACCGAAGCUACGGGUAUCACGUAAGUGAUGCGGUAGAGGAGCGUUCUGUAAGCCUGUGAAGGUGAGUUGAGAAGCUUGCUGGAGGUAUCAGAAGUGCGAAUGCUGACAUGAGUAACGACAAUGGGUGUGAAAAACACCCACGCCGAAAGACCAAGGUUUCCUGCGCAACGUUAAUCGACGCAGGGUUAGUCGGUCCCUAAGGCGAGGCUGAAAAGCGUAGUCGAUGGAAAACAGGUUAAUAUUCCUGUACUUCUGGUUAUUGCGAUGGAGGGACGGAGAAGGCUAGGCCAGCUUGGCGUUGGUUGUCCAAGUUUAAGGUGGUAGGCUGAGAUCUUAGGUAAAUCCGGGAUCUUAAGGCCGAGAGCUGAUGACGAGUUACUUUUAGAUGACGAAGUGGUUGAUGCCAUGCUUCCAAGAAAAGCUUCUAAGCUUCAGGUAACCAGGAACCGUACCCCAAACCGACACAGGUGGUUGGGUAGAGAAUACCAAGGCGCUUGAGAGAACUCGGGUGAAGGAACUAGGCAAAAUGGCACCGUAACUUCGGGAGAAGGUGCGCCGGUGAGGGUGAAGGACUUGCUCCGUAAGCUCAUGCCGGUCGAAGAUACCAGGCCGCUGCGACUGUUUAUUAAAAACACAGCACUCUGCAAACACGAAAGUGGACGUAUAGGGUGUGACGCCUGCCCGGUGCCGGAAGGUUAAUUGAUGGGGUUAGCUAACGCGAAGCUCUUGAUCGAAGCCCCGGUAAACGGCGGCCGUAACUAUAACGGUCCUAAGGUAGCGAAAUUCCUUGUCGGGUAAGUUCCGACCUGCACGAAUGGCGUAACGAUGGCGGCGCUGUCUCCACCCGAGACUCAGUGAAAUUGAAAUCGCUGUGAAGAUGCAGUGUAUCCGCGGCUAGACGGAAAGACCCCGUGAACCUUUACUAUAGCUUUGCACUGGACUUUGAAUUUGCUUGUGUAGGAUAGGUGGGAGGCUUUGAAGCGUGGACGCCAGUUCGCGUGGAGCCAUCCUUGAAAUACCACCCUGGCAACUUUGAGGUUCUAACUCAGGUCCGUUAUCCGGAUCGAGGACAGUGUAUGGUGGGUAGUUUGACUGGGGCGGUCUCCUCCUAAAGAGUAACGGAGGAGUACGAAGGUGCGCUCAGACCGGUCGGAAAUCGGUCGUAGAGUAUAAAGGCAAAAGCGCGCUUGACUGCGAGACAGACACGUCGAGCAGGUACGAAAGUAGGUCUUAGUGAUCCGGUGGUUCUGUAUGGAAGGGCCAUCGCUCAACGGAUAAAAGGUACUCCGGGGAUAACAGGCUGAUACCGCCCAAGAGUUCAUAUCGACGGCGGUGUUUGGCACCUCGAUGUCGGCUCAUCACAUCCUGGGGCUGAAGCCGGUCCCAAGGGUAUGGCUGUUCGCCAUUUAAAGUGGUACGCGAGCUGGGUUUAGAACGUCGUGAGACAGUUCGGUCCCUAUCUGCCGUGGACGUUUGAGAUUUGAGAGGGGCUGCUCCUAGUACGAGAGGACCGGAGUGGACGAACCUCUGGUGUUCCGGUUGUCACGCCAGUGGCAUUGCCGGGUAGCUAUGUUCGGAAUAGAUAACCGCUGAAAGCAUCUAAGCGGGAAACUAGCCUCAAGAUGAGAUCUCACUGGAACCUUGAGUUCCCUGAAGGGCCGUCGAAGACUACGACGUUGAUAGGUUGGGUGUGUAAGCGCUGUGAGGCGUUGAGCUAACCAAUACUAAUUGCCCGUGAGGCUUGACCAU
rnacentral:rRNA from 1 species